rnacentral:lncRNA from 1 species
UUUGGUUGUGGUUUGUUUAGUGUAUGCUUUGACAUAUCAGAGUUCAUAAAGGAUGUAUCCUAAUAUAUUAUCAGUUGUUUAACUCAUAGAGAUGAAUGUGAUGCAAGAGAGAAUAACAUGAGGUCUUUGCCCCAGACUUUUGGUCUUAGGCAUGAAAGAUUAACCACGUGAGCAAUAGGGUGAUAAUCCUUGUGUUUAUGACUCUAUAGAUGCAGAACAUAAAUAUUACUACGAGUGCACACCAACAGUGGAG